GCGGCGGCGAGGUUGGGAUACUUAAGUUUCCACCGUUUAGGUCGGCAGGGCUUUCUUGCCUUUACGCGCGCGGGGUUGUGCUGCAAAAGAGAGGGCAGUUCUAGCCAGAGUGCAAAAGCAAAGAUUGCAUUUACAACAACUUUUACAUCGUAUCCUGAUAACUCAGUAAUUCAUGAAGGUUGGUUCAUAUGCUGCCAAGGGGAAGUGAAAGAAGCAGCACAGGUGAUUUGUUCUUCUUUCCCCAUUUCUACCUUUACAGCACAAGGCUACACAUGUCUCCUGAAUUGAGGGGAACUUACUCCCAAGUAAUUCGGCAUAAUUCCAAUGUGUAAAGAACUUGCAGGUCUCAAUAGUAACAACCACCUUGGGCUUCAGAAGCCUUCUGAGGCAAACAGAUCUUGCUCACAAAUCCCACUUCAUACUUUUUGGAAGUAGUAAAGUUUAAAGCAGCAGCUACCCAUGCUAUUUCUUUCUCUGCCUUCUGGUAAUCCAUGAAAUUAUCUGAAAAAUGAAAACUCCCUGUUAUUUCAUUGCUGAUUUAGCAGUUAAAUUACCUUGCAAGUCUGUCACUUUUAUUUUCAUAUCAUAAGAACCCGUGAGAAGGUAAUGAGCCCCAGGGGAAAAGCGGACAGAACGGACAUCACUGGAAUGAGGAUGGUAACUCUGCACCAUUCGCCCUCCACGAAUAUCAUACAGCAUACAGCUGGAAUCCUCCUGGCCUGUAGCUAGAAGACGACCACUAGGAUCUACAGCUACUGAUGCCACAGCACUGCCUGCAAGGAGAAAUCCCAUAAAUGAAAUCAGUACCAUUUCUCUAGAACUCUAUUUUCCAAGCAGCAACUCUACUGGCCAACCAUGGUAAGGAUUUUUUCUUGGCUUCAUCAUCAAUAACCUUACCAGUUCCAUGAAAUGUUGUUCCAACAACGCGGACACAACUAGGUACUCUGAGAUCCC